GACGAACGCUGGCGGCGUGCUUAACACAUGCAAGUCGAACGGAAAGGCCCUGCUUUUGUGGGGUGCUCGAGUGGCGAACGGGUGAGUAACACGUGAGUAACCUGCCCUUGACUUUGGGAUAACUUCAGGAAACUGGGGCUAAUACCGGAUAGGAGCUCCUGCUGCAUGGUGGGGGUUGGAAAGUUUCGGCGGUUGGGGAUGGACUCGCGGCUUAUCAGCUUGUUGGUGGGGUAGUGGCUUACCAAGGCUUUGACGGGUAGCCGGCCUGAGAGGGUGACCGGCCACAUUGGGACUGAGAUACGGCCCAGACUCCUACGGGAGGCAGCAGUGGGGAAUAUUGCACAAUGGGCGGAAGCCUGAUGCAGCAACGCCGCGUGCGGGAUGACGGCCUUCGGGUUGUAAACCGCUUUCGCCUGUGACGAAGCGUGAGUGACGGUAAUGGGUAAAGAAGCACCGGCUAACUACGUGCCAGCAGCCGCGGUGAUACGUAGGGUGCGAGCGUUGUCCGGAUUUAUUGGGCGUAAAGGGCUCGUAGGUGGUUGAUCGCGUCGGAAGUGUAAUCUUGGGGCUUAACCCUGAGCGUGCUUUCGAUACGGGUUGACUUGAGGAAGGUAGGGGAGAAUGGAAUUCCUGGUGGAGCGGUGGAAUGCGCAGAUAUCAGGAGGAACACCAGUGGCGAAGGCGGUUCUCUGGGCCUUUCCUGACGCUGAGGAGCGAAAGCGUGGGGAGCGAACAGGCUUAGAUACCCUGGUAGUCCACGCUGUAAACGGUGGGUACUAGGUGUGGGGUCCAUUCCACGGGUUCCGUGCCGUAGCUAACGCUUUAAGUACCCCGCCUGGGGAGUACGGCCGCAAGGCUAAAACUCAAAGGAAUUGACGGGGCCCCGCACAAGCGGCGGAGCAUGCGGAUUAAUUCGAUGCAACGCGUAGAACCUUACCUGGGUUUGACAUGGAUCGGGAGUGCUCAGAGAUGGGUGUGCCUCUUUUGGGGUCGGUUCACAGGUGGUGCAUGGCUGUCGUCAGCUCGUGUCGUGAGAUGUUGGGUUAAGUCCCGCAACGAGCGCAACCCUUGUUCACUGUUGCCAGCACGUUAUGGUGGGGACUCAGUGGAGACCGCCGGGGUCAACUCGGAGGAAGGUGGGGAUGACGUCAAGUCAUCAUGCCCCUUAUGUCCAGGGCUUCACGCAUGCUACAAUGGCUGGUACAGAGAGUGGCGAGCCUGUGAGGGUGAGCGAAUCUCGGAAAGCCGGUCUCAGUUCGGAUUGGGGUCUGCAACUCGACCUCAUGAAGUCGGAGUCGCUAGUAAUCGCAGAUCAGCAACGCUGCGGUAAAUACGUUCCCGGG
rnacentral:rRNA from 1 species